rnacentral:rRNA from 1 species
UACGGGGGGGGCAAGCGUUGUUCGGAAUUACUGGGCGUAAAGGGCUCGUAGGCGGCCAACUAAGUCGGAUGUGAAAUCCCCAGGCUCAACCUGGGAACUGCAUCCGAUACUGGAUGGCUUGAAUUCGGGAGAGGGAUGCAGAAUUCCAGGUGUAGCGGUGAAAUGCGUAGAUAUCUGGAGGAAUACCGGUGGCGAAGGCGGCAUCCUGGACCGACAUUGACACUGAGGAGCGAAAGCCAGGGGAGCAAACGGG